rnacentral:lncRNA from 1 species
UUUCCCACCACCUAAAAUUUGUUCCAUCUCUCUCGCAUUGCAUCGCCGGUGGUGAAAGAGGUAUACGCGUAUGCUAAUCUCAUCGUUCGGAAUCAGACUCUCCUUCCCUCAUCGUCGGCGGUGAAAUUGGCUGUAGGCUUUCUCUUUGCUGUUGUGGUCGUUUUGUUUUGGCCUGUGUUGAUGUGGUGUUACUUUGAGAUCAUGACCAAUACUGAAAAUCCAAUAAUGUGUGCGCCCCCACUUAACCUUGAUGUUACACAUAUGGAAGGGGAAACCUCAUGUUAACGUUGGAACAAUUGGACAUGUUGAUCAUGGAAAAACAACACUGAUAGAUGCAAUUACAAAGGUGCUAGCAGAUGAAGGUUAGUUGGAUUUACGAACCAUAAUCCCUUGUUUCCACGACCUCGCCACCACCGGAGUGAAAAACAACUCUGUCGUCACCAUCGACGUGAAAAACAACGCAGUUUUCACCAUGGCGUCUGGCAUCUGCCUCGCCUCUGGAGGUGGCCGUUGCUGCUAUCAACCACCAUCGUCUUGCUACAGACCACCUUUAAACCCAUCACCUCCGGAGAGGUGGCUGCCGAACUUUCAUCCUUGGUUAAGGCAAGGACGCGCAGGGCCGGUCACCGGAGACUGGCCGGGUUCGGAUCUCUCUCCGUCUUCCAAAUCUCUCUCCCGUUUCAAUCUUCUAGUCUAUCUGUCUCUUUUGAAGGUGGAGGAUGAUCAAAAGGGUCCUGCGCCGUGUCGCAGGAGGUGGUUCAGAAGGGUGGCCAACGGAAGUCAAUGGCGGCACAAGACCAAUGUACAGCGACACUUUCUAUAUUAACAUCUUGAAAUUAUUAAGCAUGUAAGUGAGCCACCAAAGGGUGACUCUGUGCCGCAUUAUUCACCUUUUUUUUUCUGCAAGUCCUGCAUGCAUCAUCAACAAACUAUAUUAACAUCUUGAAAUUAUUAAGCAUGUCUAAAGAUUUUAGUUGGU